rnacentral:rRNA from 1 species
UACGGGGGGAGCAAGCGUUGUUCGGAUUUACUGGGCGUAAAGGGCGCGUAGGCGGCCUCUGCAAGUCGACUGUGAAAUCUCCGGGCUUAACCCGGAAAGGUCAGCCGAUACUGCAGGGCUAGAGUGCAGAAGGGGCAACUGGAAUUCUCGGUGUAGCGGUGAAAUGCGUAGAUAUCGAGAGGAACACCUGCGGCGAAGGCGGGUUGCUGGGCUGACACUGACGCUGAAGCGCGAAAGCUAGGGGAGCGAACAGG